ensembl:rRNA 5S_rRNA 5S ribosomal RNA
GCUUACGGCCAUACCACCCUGAACACGCCCGAUCUCGUCUGAUCUCGGAAGCUAAGCAGAGUCGAGCCUGGUCAGUACUUGGAUGGGAGACCGCCUGGGAAUACCAGGUGCUGUAAGCU